GGACUGAGACACGGCCCAGACUCUUACGGGAGGCAGCAGUAGGGAAUCUUCCGCAAUGGACGAAAGUCUGACGGAGCAACGCCGCGUGAGUGAUGAAGGCUUUCGGAUCGUAAAGCUCUGUUGUUAGGGAAGAACAAGUACCGUUCGAAUAGGGCGGUACCUUGACGGUACCUAACCAGAAAGCCACGGCUAACUACGUGCCAGCAGCCGCGGUAAUACGUAGGUGGCAAGCGUUGUCCGGAAUUAUUGGGCGUAAAGGGCUCGCAGGCGGUUUCUUAAGUCUGAUGUGAAAGCCCCCGGCUCAACCGGGGAGGGUCAUUGGAAACUGGGGAACUUGAGUGCAGAAGAGGAGAGUGGAAUUCCACGUGUAGCGGUGAAAUGCGUAGAGAUGUGGAGGAACACCAGUGGCGAAGGCGACUCUCUGGUCUGUAACUGACGCUGAGGAGCGAAAGCGUGGGGAGCGAACAGGAUWARAUACCCUGGUAGUCCACGCCGUAAACGAUGAGUGCUAAGUGUUAGGGGGUUUCCGCCCCUUAGUGCUGCAGCUAACGCAUUAAGCACUCCGCCUGGGGAGUACGGUCGCAAGACUGAAACUCAAAGGAAUUGACGGGGGCCCGCACAAGCGGUGGAGCAUGUGGUUUAAUUCGAAGCAACGCGAAGAACCUUACCAGGUCUUGACAUCCUCUGACAAUCCUAGAGAUAGGACGUCCCCUUCGGGGGCAGAGUGACAGGUGGUGCAUGGUUGUCGUCAGCUCGUGUCGUGAGAUGUUGGGUUAAGUCCCGCAACGAGCGCAACCCUUGAUCUUAGUUGCCAGCAUUCAGUUGGGCACUCUAAGGUGACUGCCGGUGACAAACCGGAGGAAGGUGGGGAUGGACGUCAAAUCAUCAUGCCCCUUAUGACCUGGGCUACACACGUGCUACAAUGGACAGAACAAAGGGCAGCGAAACCGCGAGGUUAAGCCAAUCCCACAAAUCUGUUCUCAGUUCGGAUCGCAGUCUGCAACUUCGACUGCGGUGAAGCUGGAAUCGCUAGUAAUCGCGGA
rnacentral:rRNA from 1 species